rnacentral:rRNA from 1 species
UACGGGGGGAGCAAGCGUUGUUCGGAUUUACUGGGCGUAAAGGGCGCGUAGGCGGCGUGACAAGUCACUUGUGAAAUCUCCGGGCUUAACUCGGAACGGUCAAUUGAUACUGCUGUGCUAGAGUACAGAAGGGGCAAUCGGAAUUCUUGGUGUAGCGGUGAAAUGCGUAGAUAUCAAGAGGAACACCUGAGGUGAAGACGGGUUGCUGGGCUGAUACUGACGCUGAUGCGCGAAAGCCAGGGGAGCGAACGGG